rnacentral:rRNA from 1 species
CAGUAGCCGCGGGAAUACGAAGGGUGCAAGCGUUAAUCGGAAUUACUGGGCGUAAAGGGCUCGCAGGCGGUUUCUUAAGUCUGAUGUGAAAGCCCCCGGCUCAACCGGGGAGGGUCAUUGGAAACUGGGAAACUUGAGUGCAGAAGAGGAGAGUGGAAUUCCACGUGUAGCGGUGAAAUGCGUAUAGAUGUGGAGGAACACCAGUGGCGAAGGCGACUCUCUGGUCUGUAACUGACGCUGAGGAGCGAAAGCGUGGGGAGCGAACAGGAUUAGAUACCCGUGUAGUCCCUGUCUCUUAUAC